ensembl:misc_RNA Metazoa_SRP Metazoan signal recognition particle RNA
GCUGGGCAUGGUGGCACAUGCCUGUAGUCUCAGCUACUUGGGAGGCUAAGGCAGGAGAUCACUUGAGUCUAGGAGGUUAAGGCUGCAGUGAGCCAUGAUCACACCACUGCACUCCUGCCUGGGUAACAGAGUAAGACCCUGUCUUUU